rnacentral:rRNA from 1 species
GAUGAACGCUGGCGGCGUGCUUAACACAUGCAAGUCGAACGGUGAAGCAGGAGCUUGCUCUUGUGGAUCAGUGGCGAACGGGUGAGUAACACGUGAGCAACCUGCCCCUGACUCUGGGAUAAGCGCUGGAAACGGCGUCUAAUACUGGAUAUGUGAUGUGACCGCAUGGUCUGCAUCUGGAAAGAAUUUCGGGUGGGGAUGGGCUCGCGGCCUAUCAGCUUGUUGGUGAGGUAAUGGCUCACCAAGGCGUCGACGGGUAGCCGGCCUGGGAGGGUGACCGGCCACACUGGGACUGAGGCACGGCUCAGACUCCUACGGGAGGCAGCAGUGGGGAACAUUGCACAAUGGGCGGAAGCCUGAUGCAGCAACGCCGCGUGAGGGAUGACGGCCUUCGGGUUGUAAACCUCUUUUAGCAGGGAAGAAGCGAAAGUGACGGUACCUGCAGAAAAAGCACCGGCUAACUACGUGCCAGCAGCCGCAGUAA